UGCCAGCCGCCGCGGUAAUACGGAGGGUCCAAGCGUUGUUCGGAAUUACUGGGCGUAAAGAGCAUGUAGGCGGCUGGGCAAGUCGAAUGUGAAAUCCCCGAGCUUAACUCGGGAACUGCAUCCGAAACUGCCUGGCUAGAGUCCCGGAGAGGAAGGCAGAAUUCCCAAUGUAGGGGUGAAAUCCGUAGAUAUUGGGAGGAAUACCAGUGGCGAAGGCGGCCUUCUGGACGGUGACUGACGCUGAGAUGCGAAAGCGUGGGGAGCAAACAGGAUUAGAUA
rnacentral:rRNA from 1 species